rnacentral:misc_RNA from 1 species
GAUGAAGAACGUAGCGAAAUGCGAUAAGUAAUGUGAAUUGCAGAAUUCAGUGAAUCAUCGAAUCUUUGAACGCACCUUGCACCCUUUGGUAUUCCGAAGGGUAUGCUCGUUUGAGUGUCAUUGUACUCUCACACUUCUAAUUCCUUUCGGGAUUUGGAGCGGUGGACUUGGGUGUUGCUGCUUUAGUUGUGGCUCACCUCAAAUAAGUUAGUGCAACUCUUGGUUGGACAUAGUACGGCGUGAUAAGUGUCUUCGCCGGCGCCUCUGUAAGGAGGGUGGCCGAUCGGGAGCUCUGUGCUUCAAACCGUCUUCGGACAAUCUUUGACAACUUGACCUCAAAUCGAGUAGGACUACCCGCUGAACUUAAGCAUAUCAAUAAGCGGAGGA